UGCGAAGGGUGCAAGCGUUAAUCGGAAUUACUGGGCGUAAAGGGUGCGUAGGCGGUUCGUUAAGUCUGUCGUGAAAUCCCCGGGCUCAACCUGGGAAUGGCGAUGGAUACUGGCGAGCUAGAGUGUGUCAGAGGAUGGUGGAAUUCCCGGUGUAGCGGUGAAAUGCGUAGAGAUCGGGAGGAACAUCAGUGGCGAAGGCGGCCAUCUGGGACAACACUGACGCUGAAGCACGAAAGCGUGGGGAGCAAACAGG
rnacentral:rRNA from 1 species